rfam:Pseudovibrio sp. FO-BEG1, complete genome.
GAUCCCAGAAGUCAACACCCGACAGCGCGAUGCGCCCUCGGGUGAUUUUUUG